CAAAAAAAAGAAAGGAGGGAAGGUUAGCACUUCCCUUGACAAGGAUGGAAGAGGCUCUCAGGCCUGACAAUAUGCAUACGGUGGUUAAGGCAUUGCCACCUACUUUGUGGCAUCUAACUAUCUUUUUUC
rnacentral:ncRNA from 1 species